AAAUCAGUAUGGAAGUAAAGCUGAAGGAAGAGCUUAAAGCAGAAAUGUGUUCCUAUUGACAAGGCAACAAUUGAAUCAAACCAAACAGAGCAAAGAGUGGAGGAAAAUGGAAGAAGUCAUGGACAUAACAGAAAACAUAUGACCUAAUACCUAUUUUGAAUUCAUAUCAUCAGUGCAUCUAAAUUGGUCAAAAGAUGAAAGAUCUCAGCAUAAAUUGUUCAAUCAUGCAAAGCAUAUCCUGUCAAAUGAAGAUUACCCUCCCUUAAAGUGUCAAGUAUCUCAGAAAUUGGACUAUGCAAUACUGUACAGGAAUAUUUUACAUAUGUCAGCACAUUUAGCAAUAGGGCCUGUUGCACCAUGCCAAGGUACAAAGUUGAUGCUUCAAGCUGUCCACAGCAUUCCAAAGGAAAAGGAUGAAACGUUUUUUUAGCUCACCUGAGCCGAAGGCUCAAGUGAGCUUUUCUGAUCGAAAUUUGCCCGUUGU